GGCUUAACUGCAGAGAGUCCAAAGUCUGAGGAAUAUGCAGUGCAUUUCUUCUUGGGUGAAAUUAAAACCACCACCGACAAAAUCAUGUGUCAGUUAUCACAAUGGGUAAUCAUGAUGGAAAGAUGAAGAGAAAUAAAAUAGUCAACUUGUCUCCUGUAUGCACUGCCUGUGAAUCUUCAGCCAAUGUGCACAGUUGAUAGGAAAACACACCUGUGGAUUUGGGAGCACUUUGCUCUUCUUGGUAAGAAUGAAGUUCUUCAGGCUGCAAGAAGAGCAGUCUGUCAGUCCUCCCAGUCCUGUAAAUCAGGGUCUUGGCAAAUUAUUCAAAAUCACAAGUGGAAGAAAAUUAAUGAGGAGCUUUGGAUAACCUUCCUAAGUUUCAGGGGGCUACAGAUGGUGAUUAUGACUAUAUCAAGCUUAAAGCAGAAAUUAUUUUCUGUGGAUGCCCAGCACCUCCAGUCUUUGUAUUCUCAUUAGAGUCUUUGUGACAGAGUUCCUGCUUGUAAACAUUUCAUUAAGGACUUGAACUGAACAAAAGGCUGUCUGUGAAGAUCCAUUGGUGUGUAUGAAUGCUGCAGAAGUGGUUGUUUAAGAAGAAAAGCUUUCAACUGCAUGAACUGAACAAAUUUCAGGCCCAGAUGUGAGGGAACUAAAAACAGAAAUAAUGAGAAACAAGGUUUUAGUAAAUGCUCUUAAUGUUAACUGACAACAAUCUCCCAUUUUCACUAUCCAAACUACAAGUUUUCUUUGUAUGCACACCAUUCACAUAAGGUUAAUAAACACCACAUUUUG